GUUUCUAUGUCAUAAUCCCCUGAUGUAUAGGAAAUGAACGUAAUUUCGAGAGAGAAAUCCAUUCUCGACAAUCUAUUCAUUCCGCCUAAUAUUUUUAUUCAUUCCGCAUAGUACUAGAAGCGUGGGAACGGUGUUCCGCCGCUUUGCAAUCUCUUUAAUUGAUAUGAGUUAACUUUAUACUUCAUCCGCCUGCGAUUCAAGGUUCGCUUGUAUUCAGCAGUUGCGGCUCGAUCAGGAGUCUCGUAAUCCAGGAUUUCGUAAAUUAUGGCAUUGUGAUCAUGGAUCAUUAAAAAAAAAAUUAAAUGUUGUAAAGGUGAAUUGAAACGAAAGACAACCAUCAUUUCAAGCUAAACCUCAAUCCAACAUCCAAAGAAUCAACUAAGACCUAACCGGUAUUCACUCUUUAAUAUGAUAUCCCCUCUUUAUCAGUGAUGUUUUCGGGUAUCGCAAUUAUGAAGUAAGUCAUUCUUCAUAAUAUUUGAUUUCGAUGGAAAAAAAGCGCAAAAAAAAAAGAGGAAGAAAAUAUUAACUAAAUCAAAACAGUACGUAAUUGGUAUUCACAGUUGGAUUAAAAGUCUGCUUAAGGAAAUUAGCUAUUAGCACUAGUUAGCUAUGAUCAACCGCCGACUGUUGUAUUCGGUACCGAGCGACAAGGUUGGUACAAUAAGGGACUAAGUGAAUGAAUGAAAUUA